rnacentral:rRNA from 1 species
GUGCCUAACACAUGCAAGUCGAACGGGGUAGCAAUACCCAGUGGCAGACGGGUGAGUAACACGUGGUCAACCUACCUCUGUGUGGGGGAUAACUAGCCGAAAGGUUAGCUAAUACCGCAUACGAUCGUUUUGGGGCAUCCUGAGACGAUGAAAGGAGCAAUCCGCACGGAGAGGGGACUGCGUCCCAUUAGUUAGUUGGUGGGGUAACGGCCUACCAAGACUCCGAUGGGUAGCUGGCUUGAGAGAGCGACCAGCCACACUGGAACUGAGACACGGUCCAG